AUACGGAGGGGGCUAGCGUUGUUCGGAAUCACUGGGCGUAAAGCGCGCGUAGGCGGAUUGGUCAGUUGGGGGUGAAAUCCCGGGGCUCAACCCCGGAACUGCCUCCAAAACUGCCAGUCUCGAGUCCGGGAGAGGUGAGUGGAAUUCCGAGUGUAGAGGUGAAAUUCGUAGAUAUUCGGAGGAACACCAGUGGCGAAGGCGACUCACUGGCCCGGUACUGACGCUGAGGUGCGAAAGCGUGGGGAGCAAACAGGAUUAGAUACCCCGGUAGUCC
rnacentral:rRNA from 1 species